rnacentral:rRNA from 1 species
UACGUAGGUGACAAGCGUUAUCCGGAAUUACUGGGCGUAAAGCGCACGCAGGCGGCGCGGUAAGUCUGAUGUGAAAUCUCCCGGCUUAACUGGGAGGGGUCAUUGGAAACUGCCGAGCUUGAGGCGAUGAGAGGGGUGUAGAAUUCCCGGUGUAGUGGUGGAAUGCGUAGAGAUCGGGAAGAACAUCGGUGGCGAAAGCGCUCUGCUGGACUGCAACUGACACUCAGGGACGAAAGCUAGGGGAGCGAAUGGG